UUCUCUCUUCCCUACUUCGCCAGUUCAAACCCUCGCCUUUUGUUCCCUUUCCUUCGUGAAGUCUCCCUCGUGUUCUCGCCGCGUCGAUCCGUCCCUUCUAUCUUCUCCGGACCAGCGAUGGCAGCGUCCUCCUCCUCCGCCGCCGAGUCCCUCCGCAGGGAUCGGAUCCUACCCGGCAAGCUCUACUUCGACGUUCCCCCGUCCAAGGUGCUGGUGAUCUACUCGUCUUCCUACGACAUCGCGUUUCUUGGAAUCGAGAAGAUGUUCCCCAAGUUGCACUGCUUUCCAACUACCUUGUUCAGAAUAGAGUGCUUUACCCAUAUCGUAAGCAGGUGAGAGGUUCCAUACUAGCAGCCAAAAUUGCAAUAGAGUGAGGAUGGGCCAUCAAUGUUGGUGGUGGCUUUCAUCAUUGUUCAGCAGAAAAAGGAGGUGGAUUUUUGUGCAUAUGCUGACAUUUCACUAUGCAUUCAGUUUGAUUUUGUUCGUUUGAAUAUUACAAUGUAAAAAGCUUGUUUCUCAAAAAGUUUACAUAUUACCUCUUGUAUUCUGGACAUGUACAAUGCUGGAGUUUAUCCUUUUGUGAGUAUUACUAUUCAUGAAAUUCAAUUCGUUUUUAACAUGCGACAGUGGCAUUCUUUAUCAUAAUUUAAUUGCUUGAUCAAGUAUUACUCGGUGUGAUCACCAGCAUUUAUCCUGUAGUUGCAUGAUUGAGACCUAGGACUUUCUUAGGUCUAUGAUUAAUCAUUUAAUAGAUUUGUUUGGAUUCAUAUGCUUGGAUUUUCAGCUCUUCUGUUUGAACAUUUGCCAAGGUAUGAACAACAUGAACCACAAACUUAGCCCAAGCUGGUCUUGGAUUAUACACAACAAUCUAAGACUCGGGAGUUUCUGAAAUGAAUAUUGCCUUGGAAUUCCUUAUCGUUUCUUCCACUGUAAUCCUUUUCUCUGCUUCAAUAUCACCAGUUAGUGCCAUAUCGUGGCACAAGCCCCCUCCAGACCUCACCACACAGAAACAUAAGUAAUGAGACAGCCUUAUGAUUAAUAUGGCCUGCAGUAUGGCUCAUGAGAUCGAGCAGUUAUGGCUAUGACUAUUGUGAUGGCUUAGCUAGAAACAUGUUAAUGCUUCUGUCAGUAUCUUCUCUUUAUAGCUGUCUGAUUUGAUUGACAAGACUCUGAGGCUAAAAGAUACAUUGAUCUGAAAGUUGAGUUGGUAGUAAGUCAUGAGUCGUUUCUUGGCUGCUUUUCCUAGUCAUUACAAAGCUGUUAACUUGCUUCUCAGUAUUCAUGAAAUUCUUUUGUGCUUUUGAUUGUUCAUAGAGUGGGACCAAAACAAAGGAAUAUCUAGAUAAGCUAGAUGAAGCGCUUGAGGUAAAACCUUCACACAUUUUUUUUCUCUGCUAUUGUUGAUCAUAGUGUCCUUCACCAACUAAUGAUUGAUUAAUGGUCAAUCACGACCAUGCAGUGCAUGUAAUGACAAUUGCAUAAAUUCAUGUCACUGUAAUCUUCCCAUUUUCAAUGUGCUCAUUCUAAACAGGGUGCUUCUGUUUAAUUGGUCAUUUCAAAUGGAUGUGUACUACUAGAGACCUUGUGGAUUCUCAUUAGAAUGAGUUGAUAUCCUUUAUAUGUUAUGGAUAUGAAAUUACUCUUCCCAAUAACGGAUCAGGUAAAUAUUAUAAACCAGUGUAGAUAAACCAUUUUUGUCUUCUGUUUCAUAACUUUUUUUAUAUAUUUGUUGCUAGUAUUGUGGUAUUUGUAUAUUGACCCCUCAGAUAUUUCAUAUCUAAUAUUGAUCCCUAUUAUCUUGUAGCAUAAUACAUAUUGGUCCUACCUAUUUAUUAGUCAUGCUACAUGAGAGACUCAUAUCUUCACUUGUAUUCCAUGAGGAAAAACAUUUUGGUUUUCAUACUAUUUUUCUCAUGAUAGUUUCUAUUCUCUAACAUCCUUCUUUUACCAUAAAUCUUCCAUUUGGAUUUCAGCCUUGGACAUAAAAAUACACUGGUUACAGGUUCAUAGUUUAAUGAAAUGACCAAAGAAUAAAGACAAAGAGUAAUUAUACAGAGGAAUAAGAUGAAUAUAACUUUCAGCCAAAUGCAAAGGCUUGCAUAAAGUCUAAUACUUUAUAUAGCUGAAUAUUCAAGUUGGAAAGGGUAGCAGGAAGUUAGUUGGAUAGUAUAAAGUUGAGGAGGAUUUGAAUUUUGGAGCAAGUACUAAACAUCCUUUGAAUUUUUAGGAAGUAUGAUUUAGAGGAACAAAAUGGUGAAAUCAUCAAACAAACUUUAUAAUAAAUGAAUACUUGAUUGCCACAAAAUAACACUCUUGGAGUGCCUUUUUCUUGGUUCAGUAAACUCAAAGAAGUGAAGAUAGUGUGCUCUGUGGACUGAAAUUAAGGGGAACAAUAUUCAAACAUAAAGUGAGAGUGUAUGCAACUAGCAAGGAUUUUAGAGAAUCAUUUAGUGAAAACACUUGUUAUAAAUAUUACUGUACUUUCAUGAUACAGACUCUUGUUUAUGAAUAUUUUCUUCUCUAAAUGUUCAAUACAAUGUCAUACAAUAUGGAAGAGGUUGAUACUGUCAUUUGACUGAUGAUGGGUCUAUGUUAACUGGAUUUGAAUUUUGAAGGGGUUCUACAAUGUCAAAUAUUUUAGCAGUAGUGAUGUCGAAGAACAUUAUCUUCUGCUUUGAUGAUGGUUGAUACGAAGUCAGACUAAAGAAAAACAUUGAGCAAGUUACUCCUCUUUAAUUCAAAUUGGUGCUUCUUGCCUGGUGUAGAUAGCAGCAUAAGAUAUGAUCCUUGAGAACUUCAUUCCUAGGAAAUAAUACAUUUUGGUUGUUAUUUCAUCUACCUCUCCUAUCUGUUUUCAUCUGAUUUGACAUGGUUCAAAAUGUAUAGCUAUCCUCUGUUUACCUACUUUUGCUGAUCAAAAUGAAUUAUAUAUUGAUAUAUGCUUGGUCCACAAGCAUUUGCUUGGCACGUAGCUAUCGAAAUGGCUAUCAGGGGGUGCAAUAAUAUCUUGUGAGAUACAGAGAUUCUUGUGAGUAAUGACUGAGCUAGUUUCAUUUUGAUCCCAGAACUUCAAUUUGUGUCAUCGAUGUACUCAGCCUAUUUUAGGCUUAUCACUAGCUGUCAUCAAGAAUAUUUGACAUAAUGUUGACAUAUAAGUGCAAUCAGCUAACUUAUCCUACGUUUAGGUCAAGUAAUCAUGAACAUUUAGGUCAUGAUUAUCCACAUUUAGGUCAAGAAUAUUUGACAUAAUGCACAUUUAGGUCAAGUAAUCAUGAACACAAAGCUAACUUAUCCUACAUGUAAAUAUUUUCUAUUGCAAUUGAAGAAUGGCUAGGUGCAAUUAUUUGAAUAGGUUGGAAAUGUCAGUUUGUCACACUGAUAUAGUCUUAUAUUGAAAGUGGGAAAGUCAUUAUUAUAUUAAUUUGAGUUUAAGUAUCUUUGGGUGCACAAAUUGGCUACUUUGUCAAAUUAUUUAGUAGUUCUAUUGGGCUGAUUUGUGACAAUUGUUAUUAGAGUAGAUUUAGUACAAGGUCCUAUGAAAUGUCUAAGUAGGAAAGAACUGCACGUGCUUGGAGGUACAUGAUGAUGUGAAGCUACCGUAGGGUUGGAUGUAUCAUGUUGGCGGCUAAGGAUGAUUAAGUUGGUGUGGAGAUUUUGGUCUAGAGAAAGGAUGUCAAGUCUUGGGUAGAGGAGACUGUGAUGUCUCGAUUAGUUUUAGAAGUGGGAGCAUAGUCACGAUCGUAAGUAGGUUUAGAUGAGCCUACUACGACAUAAUUCUAAACAUUGCUGGCUACGUAGUUCCAUACAUUAGGUUAUUGAGUUAGUAGUGCUAUGAGGUCUGGUCAUGACAGUCUAAUGACAUGAAUUGAAGUUUACUGAUUGAUCUCAUAAUUUAAGGAACAUUCAAGCUACUUUAUUGAGAUUCCAACCGAUGGGAGAAUACUUCUUGUUUUUGUGGCAUGCCACAAAUGCUACUCAAGCAGUCUUCCCUUUCAAGCAACCAUAUGGAUAUUAUCCAUCUCAAACUGCUAGAAUUACUUAUCUAAACUGCUCUGGUUGCAUAUGAUCCAAGUGUUAUUAUUGUUAAAGAUACCUUUUUUCCCCUUGAAGCUUUUUUGUAAAACGAAACAUAUUCUGGAGCCUCAUGUUUCAUUUGAGUUUUAUUAAACAUAAAAUUCAUCUUACGUUGCAAGAAAUGAUUUCGAUCCUGAGUUGGUGGUGUAUAAUGCUGGCACUGAUGUCCUAGGAGAUCCUUUGGGCAGACUGAAGGUACUUUAUGGUUUGUCCUGAUGGAGUGUCAACUAGAGAUGAGAGUCUUCAGAUUUGCCAGGGAAAGAAAUAUACCACUUGUUAUGCUUACAUCAGGUGGCUUUAUGAAGUCGAGCGCUAAAGCAACAGCAGAUUCAAUUAUAAAUCUUUUCAAUAGAAACUUGAUAGAUUUGGACAGGCCUCUUCCUCUUUGUUGAAAGUAACUCUUGAUGCUUAAAAAGAAGUACACUAUUACAAUGACCAAAGAUGCAUUAUUGUAUAUGUACUGUUAUCUUGCUUUUAUUAAUAUGAUUCUGAAGACGACUUCUUUGUUCAGAUAAUAA